UUAAGUUAUUAAGGGCGCACGGUGGAUGCCUUGGCACUAGAAGCCGAUGAAGGACGUUACUAACGACGAUAUGCUUUGGGGAGCUGUAAGUAAGCGUUGAUCCAGAGAUUUCCGAAUGGGGAAACCCAGCAUGAGUUAUGUCAUGUUAUCGAUAUGUGAAUACAUAGCAUAUCAGAAGGCAGACCCGGAGAACUGAAACAUCUUAGUACCCGGAGGAAGAGAAAGAAAAAUCGAUUCCCUGAGUAGCGGCGAGCGAAACGGGAAGAGCCCAAACCAACAAGCUUGCUUGUUGGGGUUGUAGGACACUCUAUACGGAGUUACAAAAGUAUAUAUUAGACGAAUCAUCUGGAAAGUUGAAUCAAAGAAGGUAAUAAUCCUGUAGUCGAAAAUAUAUACUCUCUUGAGUGGAUCCUGAGUACGACGGAGCACGUGAAAUUCCGUCGGAAUCUGGGAGGACCAUCUCCUAAGGCUAAAUACUCUCUAGUGACCGAUAGUGAACCAGUACCGUGAGGGAAAGGUGAAAAGUACCCCGGAAGGGGAGUGAAAGAGAACUUGAAACCGUGUGCUUACAAGUAGUCAGAGCCCGUUAAUGGGUGAUGGCGUGCCUUUUGUAGAAUGAACCGGCGAGUUACGAUUUGAUGCAAGGUUAAGCAGCUAAUGUGGAGCCGUAGCGAAAGCGAGUCUGAAUAGGGCGUUUAGUAUUUGGUCGUAGACCCGAAACCAGGUGAUCUACCCUUGGUCAGGUUGAAGUUCAGGUAACACUGAAUGGAGGACCGAACCGACUUACGUUGAAAAGUGAGCGGAUGAACUGAGGGUAGCGGAGAAAUUCCAAUCGAACUUGGAGAUAGCUGGUUCUCUCCGAAAUAGCUUUAGGGCUAGCCUCAAGUGAUGAUUAUUGGAGGUAGAGCACUGUUUGGACGAGGGGCCCUUCUCGGGUUACCGAAUUCAGACAAACUCCGAAUGCCAAUCAAUUUAACUUGGGAGUCAGAACAUGGGUGAUAAGGUCCGUGUUCGAAAGGGAAACAGCCCAGACCACCAGCUAAGGUCCCAAAAUAUAUGUUAAGUGGAAAAGGAUGUGGCGUUGCCCAGACAACUAGGAUGUUGGCUUAGAAGCAGCCAUCAUUUAAAGAGUGCGUAAUAGCUCACUAGUCGAGUGACACUGCGCCGAAAAUGUACCGGGGCUAAACAUAUUACCGAAGCUGUGGAUUGUCCGUAGGACAAUGGUAGGAGAGCGUUCUAAGGGCGUCGAAGCAUGAUCGCAAGGACAUGUGGAGCGCUUAGAAGUGAGAAUGCCGGUGUGAGUAGCGAAAGACGGGUGAGAAUCCCGUCCACCGAUUGACUAAGGUUUCCAGAGGAAGGCUCGUCCGCUCUGGGUUAGUCGGGUCCUAAGCUGAGGCCGACAGGCGUAGGCGAUGGAUAACAGGUUGAUAUUCCUGUACCACCUAGUAUCGUUUUAAUCGAUGGGGGGACGCAGUAGGAUAGGCGAAGCGUGCUAUUGGAUUGCACGUCCAAGCAGUAAGACUGAGUGUUAGGCAAAUCCGGCACUCAUAAGGUCAAGCUGUGAUGGGGAGAGGAAAUUGUUUCCUCGAGUCGUUGAUUUCACACUGCCAAGAAAAGCCUCUAGAUAGAUAACAGGUGCCCGUACCGCAAACCGACACAGGUAGUCAAGAUGAGAAUUCUAAGGUGAGCGAGCGAACUCUCGUUAAGGAACUCGGCAAAAUGACCCCGUAACUUCGGGAGAAGGGGUGCUCUUUAGGGUUAACGCCCAGAAGAGCCGCAGUGAAUAGGCCCAAGCGACUGUUUAUCAAAAACACAGGUCUCUGCUAAACCGUAAGGUGAUGUAUAGGGGCUGACGCCUGCCCGGUGCUGGAAGGUUAAGAGGAGUAGUUAGCUUCUGCGAAGCUACGAAUCGAAGCCCCAGUAAACGGCGGCCGUAACUAUAACGGUCCUAAGGUAGCGAAAUUCCUUGUCGGGUAAGUUCCGACCCGCACGAAAGGCGUAACGAUUUGGGCACUGUCUCAACGAGAGACUCGGUGAAAUCAUAGUACCUGUGAAGAUGCAGGUUACCCGCGACAGGACGGAAAGACCCCGUGGAGCUUUACUGUAGCCUGAUAUUGAAAUUCGGCACAGCUUGUACAGGAUAGGUAGGAGCCUUUGAAACGUGAGCGCUAGCUUACGUGGAGGCAUUGGUGGGAUACUACCCUAGCUGUGUUGGCUUUCUAACCCGCACCACUUAUCGUGGUGGGAGACAGUGUCAGGUGGGCAGUUUGACUGGGGCGGUCGCCUCCUAAAAGGUAACGGAGGCGCUCAAAGGUUCCCUCAGAAUGGUUGGAAAUCAUUCAUAGAGUGUAAAGGCAUAAGGGAGCUUGACUGCGAGACUUACAAGUCGAGCAGGGUCGAAAGACGGACUUAGUGAUCCGGUGGUUCCGCAUGGAAGGGCCAUCGCUCAACGGAUAAAAGCUACCCCGGGGAUAACAGGCUUAUCUCCCCCAAGAG
rnacentral:rRNA from 1 species